rnacentral:rRNA from 1 species
AGUGAACGCUGGCGGUAGGCCUAACACGUGCAAGUCGAACGGCAGCACAGUAAGAGCUUGCUCUUACGGGUGGCGAGUGGCGGACGGGUGAGGAAUACAUCGGAAUCUACUUUUUCGUGGGGGAUAACGUAGGGAAACUUACUCUAAUACCGCAUACGACCUACGGGUGAAAGCAGGGGAUCUUCGGACCUUGCGCGAUUGAAUGAGCCGAUGUCGGAUUAGCUAGUUGGCGGGGUAAAGGCCCACCAAGGCGACGAUCCGCAGCUGGUCUGAGAGGAUGAUCAGCCACACUGGAACUGAGACACGGUCCAGACUCCUACGGGAGGCAGCAGUGGGGAAUAUUGGACAAUGGGCGCAAGCCUGAUCCAGCCAUACCGCGUGGGUGAAGAAGGCCUUCGGGUUGUAAAGCCCUUUUGUUGGGAAAGAAAAGCAGCAGGUUAAUACCCCGCUGUUCUGACGGUACCCAAAGAAUAAGCACCGGCUAACUUCGUG